GUGAGUAGUUCAGAGUUUGAUCCUGGCUCAGGAUGAACGCUGGCGGCGUGCCUAACACAUGCAAGUCGAACGGAGAUAGAACGCUGUCGAGACUUCGGUCAAAACUUGUUUUAUCUUAGUGGCGGACGGGUGAGUAACGCGUGGAGAACCUGCCUCGUACUGGGGGAUAACAGUUGGAAACGACUGAUAAUACCGCAUAAGCCCACGAGACCGCAUGGUCAUGAGGGAAAAGAUUUAUCGGUACGAGAUGGAUCCGCGUCUGAUUAGCCAGUUGGCGGGGUAACGGCCCACCAAAGCGACGAUCAGUAGCCGGCCUGAGAGGGCGGACGGCCACAUUGGGACUGAGACACGGCCCAA
rnacentral:rRNA from 1 species